UGGUGGAGGCUGUGAUAAGUCUUUGGGACAGCAAUGCCAGGUAGACUGGUCCUCAAGCCCCUAGAUAGUGCAUAUGGGCACUGGCAUUCACUUGCCCUGAGUAUGUCAAUCUUUGGAUCAUGGUUGGGCCAUGAAGGUGUCAACAGUGGUGGCAGCAGACCCUGGGUAGGCCAGCCCUCACUCAGGGCAUACAGGUCCCAGUAUGCCAAAAUGUUUGCUCCUCAGGCCCCUAGGCCAGGUAUUCCCUGGGCCCCUGGGAGGAACAUGCAGGUGCUGGCAGUGUCUGCAGUAGACCAGUGGGUGGGUCCAUUAGUCCUUAGGUAGGACAUACUGGUGUUGGCAAUGUCCAUGACAGGCUAAGCAGGUGUCAUCUUUUAAUGUUUUGAAAACCUUUUUAAAUGUUUUUUACUUCCUACAAAAUAUACAGAUUCCAAAUGAAGAAACUCAGUCUCUGUCCCCUGCUUUGUUACAUUACUGCUUCUCUGAUUUAUAAUUUUCUAUGUUUUCCACUGGCUGUUUUUAACAUGCUAUUUUCAGUAGAAAUUCUGAUAUAUGUUGGCUUGCUUUAUUCAGCCUAUAGAUCUUGGCUGAAUGCUAUAUGACAGGUAUUGUGCCAGGAGGUAUGGUAGAAAAACUUUUCCUGAGAAAUUAGAUUAGCUUGGCAUUCAAUGAUUAUUUAAAGUAAUUCUAUGAAAGUUAUGUGAAAAUCUAGAUUAAAUUCAUAAAUGGACUACCAUCUCAAGUUAGUAUAUUGGUUAGGUUUUCACAAUAGUCCAGUGGAUGGCCUCACAACAUAAAGCAAUUCAUACAUAUUUCAUUUUGGAAAGCGCAUAUAAAAAUCUGAUUGAUUGAUUGAUAGGUAGAAAAUCUUAUUAUAAUAAUCACUCAAAAUCCUACUCUUUUAGCAUUUUCUGCCACUUAUAUUGCUUAUUUCUGAUUUCUAAUAGAAAAACAAGGAGAACAUAAUGAGGCAUUACAAGUAGGCAGAAAAAUAUAGAUGCACAUAGUUUACAAAGCCCUUCAGGUCAUCUUGUAACAAAGUUUUGAUCAUUUUUCUUAGACCAGAAGAUCAAUUCAGAAGUUAAUAGAAUGGGAAAAUAACAGAUUAUAUCACAAGCUUGCUUUGCACUGGAAGUUGACUAAGAGGAAAUGUGAAUCUAGCAAUAUGAUGGAGUAUGUAAUACUAAUAGAAUUCUUACCAAAAUAUCCCAUAUUUCGACCUGACUGAGGAGUUUUAUCCAGUCACUUCUGUGUUACCUGUCAUUUCCUACCCUUAGUGCCUUGUAGAUUUGGAAUGAAGAUGGUCUCCUUUGCUGUGUUCAACUUAUUCUUUAUAAUGGUAGAAUAUUCUUCUAGCUCUUUUAUGUUGGUUUAUGAAGAAAAUUUGCACAUCUUUUUUGUUGUUAAAUGAGGCUUGUGUUUUGCACUCUCAAUUUUAAAUAAGUACACACACGUGUGUGUCCAUAUACAUAUGUAGAUAGUUGCCAUUAAAGAUAAACCAUCAGUGCUGGUAUUUAAAAACAAAAACUUGUUCUGAGCAUGCUGCCUUAUAAUUUUCAUACUCAUUGAUCUAAACUCGCAUCAUUUUUCUAGGCUACUUGAUGCUCUGUAAUCCCUUACUGGACAAACUUAAAUAAGCUUUUGAUAGCUCCUAGAAAUGGUUUUACUCUGCUUUUAAAGAAAAUGCUUUAAAAGGACAUGCAAUUAAUGGCACUGGUUUUGUCCUGCACUUUGCUUUAUCACUUCUGUUAGUGGAUAAAAUAUUCAAACUCCUAAAGACUUGUAAAUAUCGCCUCUUUGCAUAAUGUAAAAUGUGGUAUGCCAUGGUUUACAGAAUGCAAUAUUACUCUUACUGUAUUGCCAACAAUUUUUCGUAGAUUUUAAUAUGAAUGAAGUUCGCAAGCAUCCCUUUGAAUCUAGAGACUUCUGACAUGCUGUUUUAUGGCAAGGCCAUAAUGACUUCAGGUGUAGGGCAAGUUUGCCCUUUGUAAUAAGUGGAUUAAAAUUGAAAUCAUUAUCUCAGAUAUUAUGUAUUGCACCUGAAACCAUGACCUUUAUUUUUUCCAUUUCAUUUAAUAAUUUCCAUUUUGUUCUCUACUCCUUCCCACAAAAAUACUGUUUGACAUCUGACACAUUUCACAAUCUCACUAUCCUUCAUUAUUUCCCUUUUUGUAGUUCUUUCCUACUUUGAAAAUACACACAAUUAUGACCUUUAAGGAGUAUUUUGAGAUUUCAGAUGUCUUCAGAAGGUAUCUAGACCGCCUUGAAAGCCACUAACCCCCUUCUGGAGUUCUGAUAUUGUAGUUUGAGAAAGAGAGAGAAUUAAUUGAGAAGCUGUAGCUGCAGAGUAUAUAGCAGCUGAUUAAUAAUUGAAAAAAAUAUUCUCAAUUCUGUUUUUGAAGAUCUUUUUUAAAACAUUUAGAUAUCAAGGAAGAAAGACAAGUGUUUAGACGAAAGUAUUUUAGUUUAUAAAUUCAGCACAUAUGUAACAUUUAUUUGGUAUAUAUUUCUCUAUUUUUCUUCACAAGUAAAAUGAUUGCUAGCACCAUACACUAGAAUUUGAAAAUUCAGUAUAAUGAAAGCUUUAUAUCACAUUAAUUCAACUGAAAAUGUAUGCCUGUUUGUAGGCAUUAUUUGUAAUUCAUAGUGCUAAAAAGAGAAAUGUCUAGGGCUGAAUAAUAUUUUGUCAUCUUACUGUUUUUAGUAAACCUUUUAGGCAAGAUUCAUCUCAGUGAACUGAAAAUUAUUUCUUUAUGCAAGGUCGAGCCUUUUUAAGCCACUCUUAAAAUUUAUCUUUGAUCAGUUUUAAAAAAGAGAGAAAAAGAAGACACUAUUUGAUAUGUGGUUAUAAUUGUUUGCACAAACACUUUUCCACCUUCCUCUGUAGAGCCCUUUUACCUCCAUGCCACUCAGCCACCCCAAAUCUCUAACCUUUAAUAAUAAUGUGUAUGCCUGCAAAUGUCAUGUGUUUGCCUGCUGCAAAAUUGAAGAUGUAUUUUUAUAGACAAGGUAGAAGCCUCUGAAAAUGUAUACCAAAUGUCUUGUUUUAUAGCUAAGGUCAGGGAAAAUUGUAUCUGAGGUUUAUGUUCCAGCUAAUGUCAUCAAAUUUAUGCUUCAAACUGAUAUUUUAAUAACAAAAUUGAUUUUCAGCAUAAUACAAAAUGUCUCAUUAUCACUGAUAGAAUAAUUCCUUUUGUUAAUCCUUAAAAAUCUUACUUUUUUCUGUAACCUUAGAAUUUGAGCACACAAUAGUCAUAGUAACUUUUUCUGCCACAUAUAAAUCACACUUGGUUUUGCACAAAGGACAGCAGGAAGUGGUGAAUUGUUUCCAUGAGACAAUUAUUGAAAAUGGGAAUAAGGUGUAUCUGGAAAUGCCACAGUAUAAUUUAGUUGCAGUAGCAUUUGUCACAAAAACCAUUUGUCAGUAUGCAUGAACUUAAUUUUAAAGCUUAUUCUAGUCACCCAAGUUUAUUAUUUUAUUGUUCAUUAUGCUGAUUGACUCAUCUUAGUUUCUUCAACUACCCAAAAAAUACCAAUUUUUUUUCUCUUUUUUGAAAAAGUAUAGCUACUUUUUCAAACUGUUUUUCUUUGCAGGGGGCUGAUUAGCAAUUGGAUAUUUUGCAAUGUUUUGAGGGGGUUGCUUUGUUUUCAGUAAAAUUGGUUGCAGUGAAUGCUAAAAUGACACAGCAUACUGUGGUGAUUAAUUCCUCCCCCAUGGAGUCUUUUUUCUGUUAUGCUUAGGAUAGAACAUAGUUGUAAUUUUCCAUUAGUAACAUACUUUUGUGAAAGUUGUUUUUAGGCUGAAGAAAUUAAGUUUGUAUUUCUUUGUUUCAUAAUAUUCCUUUAUGAAACUUGUGAUAGUUUCCAGAGAAAAAUAACAUGUAUUUGCCAAAGUAUAUAAAUCUCACAAGGCAUUGAGGUUACAAACUAAAAUUGUGUUUUAAAAUUAACAAUGUUUCAAUGUCUCUCAUUUGGCCCAAGAUUCUGGCUUAAUAAAUUUGUUGAACUGGCUAUUUUUAAGCUUGUCCCACAGGCCAAUAACAUGUUUAUCCCUAAUAACUAAUAUGGGCAAGCGUCAUUUACAGAUUUAUUAACUCCAUCCCAUAUAUAUCUCCACUCUUUGUUCCUUCCAAACACUUAUAUUUAGGAAAGAGACCACUGUAGUAAAACUUUAGAAGAAGAUGGAGAAGUGCCUUGUCUUUUUAGAACAAAGAUAACACAUUACGCUUAAGAAAACAUAAUAAAUGAAUUGGCAGAUCAUUAGAUCAUUAGAAAUCAUCCUUUUCAACUAGGUCUAAGAAUAUUUUAUUAGUGUAUUAUCUUUUAUUUAUUAUGCAAAGCCUCUUUCCUUCUGUUUCCCCAGUCAUUAAAUAUUAGUGACAAGAUAUAACAGAACAAGACUAUCAGUCACUUAAAAAUAGUAUAAUUCUAAUGCUAGUAAACAUGUAAUUUAAAGUAGUUCUGGAAGAACAGUUGUCUUUGAUUAAAGCCCUACCAAAACCCACUUAAGUAUUUAAUGUACAUACUAGUCAUAUUUUCAUGGCCUGUAAACACUAAUAUCUGAGCAAUUAAUCAAACUGUUUUAUCACUCUACCAUUUUUAAUGAAAUUUGAACAAAGUUUAAAAAUGUGUAAGCCUUUGAACAAAUGUAUGAAAGCUUUAAAAGAUCAUUAGCAUUUUUAUUUCGUUUACAAAUAAGCUGCCAAAAAAAAAAAAAACCUCACUACUUGAACAUAAAGCUUCCAAACAAUAUUUUAUUAAAAUGUACUCUAUUGACCUAGGAGGAUAUAGAAAUUAUAUUCACCUGAUUAACUGGAUCAGUUUCACAUAGUGGAAAUACUUUUUGCUAAUUUGAUUAUAAGUGCUCAAAUUUAUUGAAAUUAGAUCCUCUUAUGCCUAUAAAAGUAUGCUUUAAAAAUAUUUUGCAACAACCAUCAAAUUAUUUGGGUUCCUAUAAAUAGAAAACAGUUGGGAAAUUUUUCACAAAAAUGAAUAGGUUUUAUUAAUACCUGUUCAUGUAGUCUGUAGACUUAAACAAGUGAUACCUAUCUAUAUAUAUAUAUAAAUGAAUGAUCUUAUCUUUCCCCACAUUUUUCUUACCUGAUUCUGAGCCAGCCUUUUUGUUUUGAUGGCAGCCUGUGUGUAUGUUCCAUUUUCUGUGAACUUUGUCACAUUCAUACUAUAUGAGGAAAUGAUCUAAUAUUGUGGGCCCCAGGCAGGUCAUCUUAAUGGCAUGUUAUCUCUUUUCCUGUAAAAUUAUUCGGUGGAACUUAGAGCUGGACAGAAAAUUAGAGAUCACUUAACAUUCUGUGAUUCUAGAAAUUCUAGAAAUUUUUACUCUAGAAUCUCAGAAUGAUUAUUCUCAGAUCUACUGUCCUUGGUGAAAACUCUCACAGUGCCUUGCAUGCAGUAAAAGUUUGAUUGCCAACUGGCUGCUAGCUGACGUGUUGUUAAUUAUCACACAGACUCCCAGAACCUGAUGCCUUAGUUCCUUGGUGAUGCUAAGAGUAAAUGUAGUUUUCCUAGGAACUGAGCACUGAGGUCUGUGUGCUUUGCCUGUGUGGAAUCUGUCUCUGCAGUUGGUAUUCAGGCAAGAAUUAUAGCUGUAACAACAAUGGAAAUAUGGAGGACCCACUUUGACAUUUAUGUAAAGAUUUCAUAUUCUAUCCAAUGUCUACUUUACUGUCUUAUCAAAUUCCAUACCCUCAAACAGAUCUGUUGGAACAUAUUGAUAAAAUUAGAUGUAAAGGAAACUGGUAUGCGAUUCAAACCCAAGUCACUUCUGGUUUAAUUCUUGGCUCUGCUGCAUAAUUCUUCUGUACCUCAUGUCCUCAUUGUUGAAGUGGGGACAAUAAUCUGGACCUACCUCACAGGGGAAUUGAGGAUAUUUUCAUAGAUUAGUGUGCUUUGAAGUUGACUGAAAGAUAUACUGGAUAUCAUAAUUAUAUAAUUUCUAAAUAGAUUUCUUUAAAUCCAUGCUAUGUUUUCUUUCUCAGUCAGGUCCUACAGAAUGACUGUUGCAGUUGAUCUGUUGUUUUAAUAGUAAAUUUUGUUAUUAAUCCCCUAUGUGUUAAACAUGAGUAAUUGUAUUAUGCAAUACUGGAUUUAGGAAGGAAAAGCAGGUGGAUGUAACCAGUGGUUCCCAACUUCAACGGAUGAAGACAGCAGUGGGGGUUAUCCUUGAACUUUUUUUAAUUUUUCAAAAAGUAUAUUAGAAACCUUACAUUUACCCAUAAUAUUCCUGAUUUACAAGCCAAUUGAGACAUUGAAUUUCCAUGCAUUUUGCCUGUGUUCUCUUAAUUCUAUGUUAUUACUGCUUGCUUAUUAACAACUGAUAAAAAGCUGUGAAUGACAGUAUGAUUUUGAUUAAUAAUUAAAUAAGAAAGCCUAUUAUAUUCAACUUAUUAAAUACUUGAAAACAUGGGAAAGGAAUAAUGAAGGGAUACUUAGGCUGAAAAUGUUGGGAACCACUUUUAUAAAGGAACUAAGAUUAUUUGACCCUCUCCACAGAUUAUUUACCUAGUCUCUAAAUAAUGAAAUGUGUGUAUGUGUGUUUUGGCUAUAUUAGGCUAUAUAGCUUCAGCUUAGAAUUUGCCUUUGGUUUUUUUCUUCUGUUUCAGAAUAUAACUGGCCUAAUUUAUUUAGGUGUGUACAUGUUACUCAUACAUGCACAUACAUAUAGGAUUACAAAUGUGGAAAGUGUUAUAAUGUCAUAUUCUAGCAUUGGACUAAAUAUCAAUUCCUAACUCUUAAAGUAGUUCUAUACAUAAAUUUAACAUGAUGAAUCAAGGCAAUAAUUUCUCAAAUGUUCCUUUUAUUUCUUUGUUUUUAUCUUGGCUUUUUUUUUUAAUUUUCCAUUCUUUCUACUACACAAAGAGUAUAAAGUUGUUUUAAUGACUGGACUUUGAAACAAGUAACAAGUGUUUGAAAGUAUAUAAUCUACAAGCGAAUUUGCCCUCCUUGGACUAACCACAUACAAAUAUGAAUCUGGCUGCAAGAACAGGAUAUCCAGAUAACUAGAAAGCGGGCAUUGAUAAAAAUAUCUGCUGGAGAAGCCUAGGAUUUUGACUUUUUGUCAGAGGAUUCCUGUUGGGACAGCUUUACCAGAAAAGAGUAAUAGUGGAUAUGUCCAUCCAAACUGAGAACUUUAAUGCGUCUUGUAUUGUUACAUAGCCUGUGGAAUGAAUUCAUUUUUUCUCCCUUGAGUCCAGGAAUGACUUUCCUGGAAAAACUCAAUCUAUAUACAGCUGUGCCAAAAUGAAGGAUACUUGCCUCUCUGAAAUUUUCACUGCUGCUUCUGUCAUUGUUCACUUGUCAGAUAAAAUUUUAUUAUCUCAGGAUGCAAAAUUAAAAUAAAGUGUAAAUCUAUGUUAACGAAUUGAA